AUUAAUUAUAAACUACAAAUUAUCUAGCUAGCAAAUUCAUAGGAAAAAGAGGAGUGGCAUGCUUCUCUUGCCUGGUCAGCUUAAUCCUUUCUAAUAUCCCCAGGAACUGCAAAGACGAGUAAAGUGCUCAGAUAGAAGAACUGAUCCACUGAAAGCCGUACCCUAGAAAUGAACUCCACUAAUCAACUGCUCAUGACUCCAACAGAUGUUUCUGGUUUUCAGACAAUUAGAACCUCAUGCUCCUUUCUGCUUUCUUGCUCUGUUUUUUUCUUUUUCUUUUUCCUACCAGAAGCAAAUGCCACUACACAUCUGAAGCUUCAGAACUUGCCAUGUGAUAUGGAAGACAAAUGAAGCCAGUCAGCAAUGUCAAACACUCCAAAGCAGUUUGGGAGAGAGCUGUUGUGAACAACACUGCACAACAUGUGUUCCUUCCCUGGUGUACUAUCUUAGGGGAUGUGCUAAGACUCUCGGGAACAAGAGCAGGUUCAGGACUCUUUAGCUCAACUCAAGUGUUUGUCGCUCUGUUUUCUGGUGAUUAGCCAAUACCAGCUGUUCUGGUGAUGAAGAUGUCUCAAAUCAAUUCUAUCCUGUCUGGCUUUCCAGGAAGAGGGUCCCCCCGCAUCUCAGAUUGAAAUUUAUCAGAGUCACUGCAGGCAGGAAAUUUGCUCCUUUACAAACUCGCACUCUCCCGCUUAUUUUUAUUGUUUUAACAUUUUCCAGAAAAACAAGUCAGAAAACAAACCUACUUCCUCUUUAGAAUGUGCUGUUAUUAACCUCUGAAAUGCUGAUUCUACCGGUUGGUCAUUUUUAUCGUAGAUCACUUUAAAGUAACGGCAGGAUCACAAAUUUAAAAAUCACAGUCAAUGCUGAAUCAGCAUAAAGAACAAAACACUAAGAGCAACAUUUUCAAUCCUCAGUGCCUACAAAGAAGCUCUUGAAUACUACCUCUAGGCUUCAAUGAUCUCCAGAAGGAAGGACAACAGGAUUUGGGUCUUUAGCACCAAAAAAAGUACCUUUAUUUUCAAAGGUGCUGAGCACCUGCAGCUCCCAUAGACUCGAGGGGGUGCUCAGCGCUCAUGCCUAAAAAGUGAGCUCUUUAUAAGGGAGUUCAGAUGAGGAAAAGUUUUUUUUUACUCAACUGUAAAUUUGGGUGUGUUAGUGCUUUCCACAUUUUUUUCAAAGAUCAAUAUUAAUGGAGGGUUUUUUGAGACAUACAAGCUGAAGAUACUCUCUUGAUUAAUUUCAGACAUUUUUUGGUGUCCUUCUUUGCCUUUGCCAGAAUGAAAUUUGGCAAAUACAUAUUUCCUGCUGCAGGAAAACAAUGUGUCUUUUCAUAGCUGGGAAUCAAGUCUUGGCAAUUAAAUUAGGACCAAUGUCCAUUGAUCUCAGUGGAAAACCCUAUUAUAUGGGAGAGCUCUUAGACCACAUCCUGCCAUCAUUCUGCACCGAGAACCCCCUCUGAGGUCAGCAGGAGUUUUAUGCAAAAAUAUAUAGCAGGAUGUGGUCCACUUAAGGACACUCUAAAGGUUGAAGCUCUAA
ensembl:lncRNA